UACGGGGGGGGCGAGCGUUGUUAGGAAUUACUGGGCGUAAAGGGCGCGUAGGCGGGCGGGUAAGUCUCUCGUGAAAGCCCACGGCUCAACCGUGGAAUUGCGGGAGAUACUACUUGUCUUGAGUCCGGGAGAGGAGUGUGGAAUUCCCAGUGUAGCGGUGAAAUGCUUAGAUAUUGGGAGGAACACCGGUGGCGAAGGCGGCACUCUGGACCGGAACUGAAGCUGAGGCGCGAAAGCCAGGGGAGCAAACGGG
rnacentral:rRNA from 1 species